rnacentral:rRNA from 1 species
UACCAGCACCCCGAGUGGUCGGGACGAUUAUUGGGCCUAAAGCAUCCGUAGCCGGUUUUACAAGUCCCCCGUUAAAUCCAACUGCUUAACAGAUGGGCCGCGGAGGAUACUAUAAGACUAGGAGGCAGGAGAGGCAAGCGGUACUCAGUGGGUAGGGGUAAAAUCCGUUGAUCCAUUGAAGACCACCAGUGGCGAAGGCGGCUUGCCAGAAUGC